AUUAAUACCCCAUAAUAUUUAGAAUGGCAUCAUUUUAAAUUGAAAACUCCGGUGGAUAGAGAUGGGCACGCGCAAGAUUAGAUAGCUUGGUGAGGUAACGGCUCACCCAAGUCUGCGAUCUUUUAGGGGCCUGAGAGGGUGAUCCCCCACACUUGGUACUGAGACACGGACCAGACUCCUACGGGAGGCAGACAGUGAGGAAUAUUGGACAAUGGGUGCGAGCCUGAUCCAGCCAUCCCGCGUGAAGGACGACGGCCCUAUGGGUUGUAAACUUCUUUUGUAUAGGGAUAAACCUACCCCUCGUGAGGGUAGCUGAAGGUACUAUACGAAUAAGCACCGGCUAACUCCGUGCCAGCAGCCGCGGUAAUACGGAGGGUGCAAGCGUUAUCCGGAUUUAUUGGGUUUAAAGGGUCCGUAGGCUGAUGUGUAAGUCAGUGGUGAAAUCUCACAGCUCAACUGUGAAACUGCCAUUGAUACUGCAUGUCUUGAGUGUUGUUGAAGUAGCUGGAAUAAGUAGUGUAGCGGUGAAAUG
rnacentral:rRNA from 1 species